GCGUUGGGCUUCAAAUCCGUUGUGGCGAUUG
rnacentral:tRNA from 1 species